UGGUAUGUACUAGCUUGCUGAUUCCUCCUUCUUGUAGAACCGUAAUGCCAUUAAUUUGGUGUUGCGGGGAAACAGGACUGUUACUUUGAAAAAAUUAGAGUGUUUAAAGCAGGCUAGCGCCUGAAUACAUUAGCAUGGAAUAAUGAAAUAGGACGUUCGAACCUAUUUUGUUGGUUUCUAGGAUUGACGUAAUGAUUAAUAGGGGUAGUUGGGGGCAUUAGUAUUCAAUUGUCAGAGGUGAAAUUCUUGGAUUUAUUGAAGACUGACUACUGCGAAAGCAUUUGCCAAGGAUGUUUUCAUUAAUCAAGAACGAAAGUUAGGGGAUCGAAGACGAUCAGAUACCGUCGUAGUCUUAACCAUAAACUAUGCCGACUAGGGAUCGGAUGAUGUUA
rnacentral:rRNA from 1 species